CCCCCACCCUCAAGGCUUCAACCCACCUUCUUCACCAUGCUAUCCCCACCCUGGCGACCUCCCACACAACCCCGGUUCAGUCCCUUCCGUAGCCACCUUAUCCGUUCAACCCCCACCUACCCAUCCCUCCCACCAUGUCCACCUUCUCUCCCCUCCAACACCCCACCCAUGGCGCCUCCUCCCACCUCCCUCGGUCGCCACGAUGUGCUCUGCCCGUGCUCCACGGCGCCUCCCCUGCACGGAUAUGACUGGAUCCAGCCUCGCCGCCCACGUAUGCACCUUCUCUUGCCCCGCCGCCUCUAGCCACCCUCUUCCGCGCCACUGGAUCCAUCCUCUGUCAUCACUCGAGAUCCGAACGACGUCCGCCAUCUCGGAGCCGCAACACCGCCGCCUCCAUGGAACAGAGGUCGGGCCGCCCUGUCCUCCUUGCGCAUACCUCCUUCCACGAGUACAUCACGUCGCGUCGCUGCUAGAUCAGGCAUGUCACUGAGCACGGCCUCUCCUCCACCUUCCUCCAUGCGUCAUCGUGCCGGGCGUAUCUGCCAAGGCCCUCAGUCGGUGUGGCCUGAGGCAGAUCUAGCUUGGAUGGUUGUAGAUCCUGGGUGGCGACCUCCACCAGUGAUGGUUCCUUCCAGGAUAAUGUGCGGACGGUGAGUAUGUGCAGUCCGAUGCUGCAUGUGUGAACUGCAGUGAGUGUGGGGCGGUCCCCGUGUUUUUCUAGCAGCUCCGGCGUGGACAGAAGACGCUCCGAUCACGUCCAACAACUGACCAGAGAUUGUGAAGACCUUUCCUUCAACAUUUUAUUACGAGAGAGACAUGUGUAGUAAGGUUCGAGGAAUGAUGCAGUUAGGUAGGAGCGAGAUGUGCAGCUCGCUAUACCUAAUUUUUAAUUGUAAUUUGCCCACAACCGUGCUUCGAUCUGCUUCUUUUGCUGUCAAGCGUUUAACUGGAUUUUGGUGUUGCUUAUCUCAAAUUUUAGCGAUGAUGUGCUUUCAUUGUAUGGGGCAUGCAUCCGGGUAGCUCAUAGCGCGUGAGGUUGUAGUGCGGUGAGUGAAGGGUGACAACUCCCGGGGAUUUGUAGUUCAACGAACUGUUGCAUGUGGUUCACAUCUCGCGAUGGGUUGAAAAUGAUAAAAAAGGUCAUGCGGUUUCUUCUA